rnacentral:rRNA from 1 species
GAUGAACGCUAGCGGCAGGCUUAAUACAUGCAAGUCGAGGGACAGCACAGGUAGCAAUACUGGGUGGUAACCGGCAAACGGGUGCGGAACACGUACACAACCUUCCUUUAAGUGGGGGAUAGCCCAGAGAAAUUUGGAUUAAUACCCCGUAAUAUAGUUGAAUGGCAUCAUUUGAUUAUUAUAGCUACGGCGCUUAAUGAUGGGUGUGCGGCUGAUUAGAUAGUUGGCGGGGUAACGGCCCACCAAGUCUACGAUCAGUAGCUGAUGUGAGGGCAUGAGCAGCAAAACGGGCACUGAGACACGGGCCCGACUCCUACAGGAGGCAGCAGUAAGGAAUAUUGGUCAAUGAACGCAAGUCUGAACCAGCCAUGCCGCGUGAAGGAUUAAGGUCCUCUGGAUUGUAAACUUCUUUUAUUUGGGACGAAAAAGGGCCUUUCUAGGUCAACUGACGGUACCAGAUGAAUAAGUACCGGCUAACUCCGUGCCAGCCGCCGCCGUAAGAC